CCUACGGGAGGCAGCAGUGGGGAAUAUUGCACAAUGGGGGAAACCCUGAUGCAGCAACGCCGCGUGAAGGAUGACGGUUUUCGGAUUGUAAACUUCUUUUCUUAGUGAUGAAGACAGUGACGGUAGCUAAGGAAUAAGCAUCGGCUAACUACGUGCCAGCAGCCGCGGUAAUACGUAGGAUGCAAGCGUUAUCCGGAUUUACUGGGUGUAAAGGGAGCGCAGGCGGGACUGCAAGUUGGAUGUGAAAUACCGUGGCUUAACCACGGAACUGCAUCCAAAACUGUAGUUCUUGAGUGAAGUAGAGGCAAGCGGAAUUCCGAGUGUAGCGGUGAAAUGCGUAGAUAUUCGGAGGAACACCAGUGGCGAAGGCGGCUUGCUGGGCUUUAACUGACGCUGAGGCUCGAAAGUGUGGGGAGCAAACAGGAUUAGAUACCCUGGUAGUCCACACUGUAAACGAUGAUAGCUAGGUGUGGGGGGUCUGACCCCUUCCGUGCCGGAGUUAACGCAAUAAGCUAUCCACCUGGGGAGUACGACCGCAAGGUUGAAACUCAAAGGAAUUGACGGGGGCCCGCACAAGCAGUGGAGUAUGUGGUUUAAUUCGACGCAACGCGAAGAACCUUACCAAGUCUUGACAUCCUGCGACGAUGCUGGAAACAGUAUUUUCCUUCGGGACGCAGAGACAGGUGGUGCAUGGUUGUCGUCAGCUCGUGUCGUGAGAUGUUGGGUUAAGUCCCGCAACGAGCGCAACCCCUGCCAUUAGUUGCUACGCAAGAGCACUCUAAUGGGACCGCUACCGACAAGGUGGAGGAAGGUGGGGACGACGUCAAAUCAUCAUGCCCCUUAUGACCUGGGCUACACACGUAAUACAAUGGCCGUUAACAGAGGGAAGCAAAGCGGUGACGCAGAGCAAAACCCUAAAAACGGUCCCAGUUCGGACUGUAGGCUGCAACCCGCCUACACGAAGUUGGAAUUGCUAGUAAUCGCGGAUCAGCAUGCCGCGGUGAAUACGUUCCCGGGCCUUGUACACACCGCCCGUCACACCAUGAGAGCCGGGGGGACCCGAAGUCGGUAGUCUAACCGCAAGGAGGACGCCGCCGAAGGUAAAACUGGUGAUUGGGGUGAAGUCGUAACAAGGUAGCCGUAGGAGAACCUGCGGCUG
rnacentral:rRNA from 1 species